CCUACGGGCGGCAGCAGUGGGGGAUAUUGCACAAUGGGGGAAACCCUGAUGCAGCGACGCCGCGUGGGUGAAGAAGCGCCUCGGCGCGUAAAGCCCUGUCAGCAGGGAAGAAAAUGACGGUACCUGAAGAAGAAGCCCCGGCUAACUACGUGCCAGCAGCCGCGGUAAUACGUAGGGGGCAAGCGUUAUCCGGAUUUACUGGGUGUAAAGGGGGCGCAGACGGCGGUGCAAGUCAGGAGUGAAAGCCCGGGGCCCAACCCCGGGACUGCUCUUGGAACUGCGUGGCUAGAGUGCAGGUGGGGCAGGCGGAAUGCCUGGUGUAGCGGUGAAAUGCGUAGAGAUCAGAAGGAACACCGGUGGCGAAGGCGGCCUGCUGGACUGCAACUGACGUUGAGGCCCGAAAGCGUGGGGAGCAAACAGGAUUAGAUACCCGUGUAGUC
rnacentral:rRNA from 1 species